UGACUUAUGCAACACGGCCAAGUCACACGCCCGUGUGCUACGCCAUGUGCCAAUUAGGGAGUAUACUGACUUGUACCACACGGUCAAUGAUACGCCCGUGUGUGAGACCGUGUGAAGCAUACUGACUUCAAUUCAAUUUCAUCACCAGGGGACACACGGCUGUGUAACAUGACUAUAUGUCACACACGGUGUAAUGCCC
rnacentral:lncRNA from 1 species